rnacentral:rRNA from 1 species
CCAGCACCCCGAGUGGUCGGGACGAUUAUUGGGCCUAAAGCAUCCGUAGCCGGCCUUACAAGUCCUCCGUUAAAUCCAGCUGCUUAACAGAUGGGCUGCGGAGGAUACUAUAAGACUAGGAGGCAGGAGAGGCAAGCGGUACUCAGUGGGUAGGGGUAAAAUCCGUUGAUCCAUUGAAGACCACCAGUGACGAAGGCGGCUUGCCAGAAUGCGCUCGACGGUGAGGGAUGAAAGCUGGGGGAGCAAACCGGAUUAGAUACCCGGGUAGUCCCAGCCUGUAAACGAUGCAGACUCGGUGAUGGACUAGCUUUAUGCUGGUCCAGUGCCGCAGGGAAGCCGUUAAGUCUGCCGCCUGGGUAGUACGGUCGCAAAGACUG